rnacentral:tRNA from 1 species
GGCGGCGUGGCGGGCCAGUUCGGCACGAGGUACUCGGCGUUCGGCCCCCCCGAGUCCCAGUCGGAGAAGUUUGCCACCACCACGGCGACGCUGCCGCUCGCCGCAAACACGGGUUCGAAUCCCGUUGCCGCCG